rnacentral:rRNA from 1 species
GCAGCAGCCACGGUAAUACGAAGGGGGCUAGCGUUGCUCGGUAUGACUGGGCGUAAAGGGCGCGUAGGCGGUUUGAUCAGUCAGGCGUGAAAUUCCUGGGCUUAACCUGGGGGCUGCGCUUGAUACGGUCGAGCUAGAGGAUGGAAGAGGCUCGUGGAAUUCCCAGUGUAGAGGUGAAAUUCGUAGAUAUUGGGAAGAACACCGGUGGCGAAGGCGGCGAGCUGGUCCAUUACUGACGCUGAGGCGCGAAAGCGUGGGGAGCAAACAGGAUUAGAUACCCCCGUAGUCCCUGUCUCUUAUAC